rnacentral:rRNA from 1 species
UACGGAGGGGGCGAGCGUUAUUCGGAAUUACUGGGCGUAAAGCGUGCGUAGGCGGUUAUUUAAGUCGGAUGUGAAAGCCCCGGGCUCAACCUGGGAAUUGCAUUCGAGACUGAAUAGCUAGGGUACGGUAGAGGGAAGCGGAAUUUCCGGUGUAGCGGUGAAAUGCGUAGAUAUCGGAAGGAACAUCAGUGGCGAAAGCGGCUUCCUGGACCAGUACCGACGUUCAGGCACGAAAGCGUGGGGAGCAAACAGG